GAGAAACAAUGCAUUUUAUCAUAGGGCCGGACAGCUAUAUGCACAAGAUGCUACCUGCAGAGAUUGGUUUUUGCCCAGAUGUGCAGGAGAGAUGCACAGAGAGGAAGAAAUGCAUACAUGUGUGCAGGUUUUGGCGUGUGCACAAGAAGCCUGGAAGGAUUUUCUUUGGAUCUACAGUCAAAAUGGAUUUCCGAGAGGAAGCUGUCUGAAAACACACCUCUUCCCUGUGCUACAUACGGUCCCAUCUCUGCCAGCCAGGUUGUCAGGAAAGUGAUCAGCACUGGCUUCAACUCUGGCUAGAGCUCUUUGGCCAAUGUGAUGGGCAGAAAACUGGAAUGAGGACAGAAAAGCACCUCAGAGGUUUGAAGAGUCUAGUCUCUCACCACCUUGCUGUAGGUUUUCUGAAUACUUCUGAGUUUAGGAGCAUUUUUUCUCAACAGGCAAGUCAGGAGCUGCUAAGAUAAACCAUGGCAGUAAGCUCGAGCCAGUGUUCGUAUUUGCCAUUGAUCGGCCACCAAGUGCUUGCUAUGUGCCAUGCAUUGUGCUAAGCACUAUCUCAUUUAAUAUUUACAGCAAUCUUAUGAGGUAGAUGCUACUGUUAUCUCCAUUUUACAGAUGGGGAAACUGAGGCACAGAGUUCCACAGCUGGUAACUUGAGGAAUAGGAAUUCAACCACUGGAGAGUCUGGCUGGAGUUUUUUGUGGUAGGAGAAAAUAUGCUGUCUAAAUUUGCCUUGGGAAACCAUCAUGGUGGUCACAAAACCACUUCUACGGCUUGCCUUGACCUAGCAGGAAUGAAGAUGUAAAGAAAGAAUGAGCGCGUCAUGGUUAUGAUGGGAUGAUGAUGUCUGUUGUGUUGUUUGGUGUCAGUUUCUGUAACGCCUUUCUAUUUCAAUCAAGGCUAUUAUCUUUUCCUCUGUUUUAGUGAAGUUUCCUUGAAGUAGAAAAUGGGAGUGUAUUGGGCAUCUCAGAGUUUUCAGCUGAACUGAAGGGUCUGAUGGUAACUUUACCCCCAAAUCUCUGAGAGAAAAGCAGGGAGUCCCUGCUUCAGCUCUGCUCAGAAGAGCCUCCCUCACAUGGUGGUUUCUGUGUCACUAGACUGGUUAACCAAAUGGUUCUUCUAAAUACCCAACUUUUAAUAGAAACUCCUGCGGCUUGGAUUAUUAAAGUCCUAACAUGCUUAUUUAAUCGUGUUUCAAGUCCAUCUAUCUUUUUUGAGUCUAAGGAAGACUCACUAGGUCAGAAGGAGUAGAGGGAAGAGGAUUAAUACAUGAUUUUCUUUUUCCCCUUUUUCUUUUAACUUAGGCUGAGACUUAUUUGAAUGCCUGUUUCAUAUGGAGCUUUUAAGUGUAACAGUUGUGAGUGAAAUUGCCCCUUUUCAAGCGCUCCGAGUUUGCUUCUGCAUGGAAGGGGAAGAUGGACUAGAGCUGAUACCUCCUGCACCCUGGUGAAGAAAUGCACCCUGAGGCCAGAAAAUAGUACAAACCCAUCUGGCUGCAACAGUCCAGCAGCAUGAAGAUCAAAGUCACGUAGUAGAGCCAGAGAGAAAUUUGCCCUGGGCCUAAUAUUCAUGAAGCCUUUCCAAUUCAGACUCGGUAUUAUUGCCAAGUCGGUGUGUUUGGGAGAAAUCAGAAGCCAACACACUAGAAAAGUUGCAAGAGAUUCCUAGGGGAACCCACAAAUUCAGUUCCUUGCCAGAAACCUGCUCCUCCAGAUGAAUCUAGUGCAUCAGAUGGGCUCAGAAGCACAGGUGGCGCAGGCAGACCUCUACUGAGAAGAACAACAGUGGAAGGCAGAUGAAACUCACAUUUUGGAGUCUGAGAGCCAUGCGGGCCCACCCCAGUUACGUCUACCCCUGGUCGGUGACCAGAGAAUCCUUUAGCAGCAACAGCAGUGAUGUUUAUUUCACUGGUAUGUAUAAAGCGACUGAUUGAAAACAAGCUGUAUGCCCAACAACUUGGAACUGGUUAAAUGAUUUUUGGUUCAGCCGCACAGUGGAAUAUCAUGCGGCCAUUAAGAAUAAAUAAAAAAUCCUAUACUUUCCAUGUUCAACUUUAGACUGCAAACAACUGAAAAAACACCUUCAUAAUUAGGCUUCCUCAGAUUAGAACGUGAAGUCAAAUCAACGUGUGUCAGAAAGUUAACAACAGCUAACUGUUUGUUGUGGUGUUCUGAGUAACUUGUAUUAUUUUUCAGUUUUUUUCCCAUUCCUAAUGUGCAAAUGUACUAUUUUUAUUGUAAAAAAAAAUACAUGUUUGUAAAGAGCAAUAACAUAAAUCUCUGCAUAGGCAAAUUGAAAGGAAAUCAGACAAAAUGAUACCUUUUGGUAGUGGAAUUCUAAAUCAUUUUUUUCUUCAUUAGAGUUUCUGAAUUUUCUGCAUUUGAUAUGUUUACCUUUAUAAAGGGUCAAUCAUAUUUAAGAUGAUUUUUUAAAAGACAAGUGGACAGGGAAAGAGAGGUCUGCUGUUGCAAAACCAAAGCUGGAGGCUCUCCGAAGCCCACUUAUGUUAGUCAAUUGAUAUUUCAUGAAACUCUAGAAUGUGCAAAUCACUUUCCACGGGGAUUGGGGGGGUGAGAAAUACAGAGAUGAAGGAGAUGCAAACACUUUAAUCAAAGAAAUCCGUCUGGUUGGGAAGAGAAGGUUCUGCAUUAUAUAAGUUGCAAGGUCUUAUCCAAGAGGUUAGUCUGUCAAGAGUAAUAGCAAUAAUUACACAACAAUAUGUCAGAGAGGCUGGGAGCUCCAGCUUCAAAGCCACCUUGCCUGGGG
rnacentral:lncRNA from 1 species